GAGGGUUUGGGGAAAGGACAGCUGGAUUUCUUUGACACCAACACCAAUUGCAGCAGCCACAGCCCUGGUGCAUGUUUGCUGUAUCUGCACGUCUGAACAGACCUGCCAGAGCAUUCCUGCCUUCAUUCAGCUCCUCUCGCUAUUUCCUGUGAGUGCGUUUGCUCAGCACCCCAGUACUGCUGUAUGCGCUGCCCUCAGCAUCUCGGUGUCCUUGGCGAAACAGAUUCAAUGAGCUCUGCAGCUUGCAUAUGUGCCAAGUCUCUCUUUGGAUCUCUGUUUUACUAUUUAAAGAAACAGUUUUUUAUUUUGCAGCCUUCCAUUGAUUUAAUGAAUGAAAUAAAAGUGAGUUGUCUUUUGCUGUCAGGGACGUAGUUCAUGUCUCCUAAUAAGUAAUAUAGGCGUUAUCUGUGUUUAAUGUAGAGACGCCCGCCCUUCCUUGAGCCUUGGUGCUGUAUUGCCUGCUGUCUAGAUCUAGGCAAACUUAAAAGCAGCCCAAAAGACAUUUGAUGGGAUCAGCCUGAAGGUCAGUUCUUUGUUGUCUUUGGAGCUUGACAUGAAUAGUUCCAUGGAAAGGGUAGAACCAGAGACAUGGGAAGAGACAUGGAUUGUUUUCUUCAGUCUUUUUUUCCCAAUAUAUAUUCAAAAUGAUAAAAUGCUUCAGGAAUGUAAACUGUAAAGACAGAAGUCGUCUCCCCUUCCCCCUUUUUUCUUUUAAUUAUUUUUUAUUUUUGGGAUGUAGCAAUUUCCUCUUUUUUUUCUUGCAUUUAGAAGGACAUUUUAUUCUGCUCUGGGGUAUUGACCAUUCUAAUCCUCAAAACAUGCUGUUCAAACCUCCUGGAGGUUUCUGCCAAUACAGCUCAUUCAGGCUUCCAGGAGUGCAGGGAGAGGAAGGUAUUAGAAUACAUGCAACACUUGUGGAGGGCAAAGGUAUUGGAGGUUGAGGGAGGGAGGGGUAGGUCCACUGAGGGCCAUUAAACAUAAUGGUCCAGAUGCAAUUGUGUUAGCGGAGAUGUGGGCUCUAAAUGCAGACUGCUUGGUGGAAGCAGGAGAUUUUGAAGUGUUGCAUAUUUGUGUUUGAAGAUGCUUUUAUUUAGUGUAUGGCUGGUUUCUAAAUACAAGUCAUAUAUAAAUACUGCAAAUGUAUUGGUUGUUCUCCUUUCUCAACAGACAGAAAAGAAAUCGUGCCCAGCUGUUCCUCCCCUAUAUGAAGCUUUGUCUGAAUAAUAUGUAGUGGAGUAUGAGAGCUUCACUUUUAGGCCUUCUAGACAAUGCUCUUCAUGAGUGACUGCUUCUGUUCCUUCUGGAAGUCCAGUACAGUUCUAUAGUGAUGAGUAGACCAAGCCUCUAAUGCACAAUACAUGAAAUUUAGAUGGGCACAACUUCUGUACAGUAACAUCGCUGAACUGAGUAUUGCUGGCAGAACAAGUAAAGGAGUGUACAUAUGGGUUAUGUGAGCUCCAGUGUUUAGAGGAAAAAUGAUGAAAAGAAAGAAGAAAAGCAAGCUGCUUAUGGAAAUCAUUUUCCUGCUAUCCUGGGACAUAAAUAAUUUGUGCCAAAACAUGAAGAACUGAAAGUAUUUCUUCAAUGCUUUUCCAUUAUUGGACCAGACUGCUAAGUUUGAACUGAGUGCACUGGUUAUGUAUAUAUGUAUACAUAUGUAUAUAUGUAUACAAUAAUUAAAGCAGAAACAAUAUGUAUAUAUAUGUGUGUAUAUAUAUACACUUAUUUAUAUAUAACCUGUAACAAUUAACUACACCAUCCCCUGAGGUCUAAUAGAAUAUCUGUCAACUCAGCUACAGACACAAUCUGAUCAGCCUUUAACAUUUUACAAAUGAAUGAAGAAAUUGCACUCAUAUGCAAAGAUUUAAUUCCUUUAUAAAACCCAAUGACACCACUGACUCUAUGCGAACAUGUGUUUUCUUAUUUUAACCCAUAUUCAUUGUCUUUUAAAAACGCUGCAGGUUUUGAUGGUGCCUUUGUACCAUCAUUCUCUUCAUAAUGUGAAAAAUGCUUUCAUGUUUCUGAUAGGGAAAUGAUAAUUUGCAGUCUUGAAGAGAUUGUCACAUAAAGGAGACUGCGUGUGCUAAGCUGCAUGUGCUGCACAGAUGAGGUAAUGUCUGUGGUGCACACCAGAUUAACCUGGUUGGAGCACGGAAUACCAUUUUAAUGAUGAAUUAAAAAAGGGGGGUGCGUGUGUGAGCAUAUCGCUUUGGGCAGAAGGGUGAACUCCUCCUCAGAGCAGGUUAAACGUGAGAGAAAGGGGCUGUGCUGCAGAAAUGUACCGCAGAAUUAAUGCAUUGUCAGAGGCAGUUCGGAGAAAAAGAGGAUUGUCCCAAGUUGACGUAUGGCUUAAUGAGGGGCUGGAGAAAUGGAGUGGAGGUGUAGAGGGGAAACAGAUAAAAAUAAUUCUAGUUUCCUCUUCCCAUCCGAAAGCCAGGUGUUACGUAUUUUCUUUGCCUCUGGAGUCUAAUAAAAGACCUGUGGGAGUCGAUGAAAAUAUUUUUGUCUCUGUGUUCUAUUUUUCCCCAAUAAUAGAAAUUUUGAGGGAAAAAAUGAAACACCGUGGUAGUCCUUAAGGUAUUUCUUUAGAUGAUGUAGAUUGGAAAUCAUUUCCUUACAGGACCAACGGUAUAAUCCCAGAUCAGAGUUCAGCUUUUAAGCCAGUUUUGAUCUAUUUUCACAAAACUAAGACUUAAGAAAUUUAAUUGCCAGAUGGUUUGAGAAUCUACUUCCUAUUACACGUGCUAAGCUGGGCUGGAACGUACCCUUUUGAGAAUAACUGAGGUGCAGUCAGUGGAUAUUCUACCUGCAAUGACGUGCUUUGUGUACGGAGCAGGGGAAGAGCACGUUUCGUAGAUUACUGCUCUGAAGCUUCAGAAAUGUGGCACAGUAUUGAGUAUCUAUAUCAUUUUUAGCAAAUACUGAGACUUUGUAGCUUAAUGAUUGGAAGUAUUUACAUUUUCCAGAUGGGAGGAAUUUCGGUCUCUGUUGUGCAGCAAAACUUUCUGCUUUAAUUAUAUGUAUGUCUUUUAAACUGGAAUCAGAAGCUGCUUCACCGACGUGCUCCAUUUAUCAUAGGAGUCCACCUUCAGAAAUAGAUUUUUCAUAACUGCAGAAAUAGAAAGAGAAGUGGAGAGGUCAGUCCUUGUUAAUUGAAGGCAGCCAGUAGCUGAUGUGGACAAUCAUAGAUCUGAGCAAAACCUCACUUGUCUGCUGAUGUACCAUUACUGUGAUUAAUGGUGCAGUACACUUAUACUAACAGUCGAAUGAGUAUAUUAACAUUAUAAAAGUCUUUAAAUGAAGGUUUAUAUUUGACUAUCAUUUUUGAUAGCCAAGUGGCUGUUAAAGAACUGUAUUCACUGUCAGUAGUUUUAUGCCAGUCGAUGCCAAUCCUUUCCUCUAGGGUGACAGCUUGUAGACUCCAACCCAAGGGUCGUUGUUGACAUCAAGCUGCAAGUACCAUUGAGAAGUGAUUUGCAUUAACGUCCCUUCCUGCACAACAACCACAGAAGGGAGUGCGAGGAAGUAUGUAUGACUCCUUGCUUUGCUUCAUGUUACACUUCAGAAUAGGAGCGAUCCUCCUGUAUCUCCCAGCCCGACGCUGUCAGCAAGGCAGCUGCCAUCACAUGUUUCAUUUCAGCUGCUGACCUCAGGCUGCCACUGCGCCUUUUGUGUGCAGGGGUUUCCCAGGCACCAAGCUCUACAGCAGUGCUGUACAGGGUGUGUGUGAUGGGCCUGAGGCUGCUGGGAAGUGCUGGUGUUACUGUAAAUGUGCAGCCAAUUCAGCUCAGGGAGGAUUGGGUGUUUCCAUUCAGUCUCUGCUUUACAGUCAAACAUACUGAUGGAGAAAGGAAGCUUGAAAAGAAAUGUUGAAGUUCCCUUUAUGGAGUUGAAGGUGUGUUCACUUCUCUGCAGGUGGUUUUUGUUUGUUUGUUUUUUCUUUUUUUUUUUCAGUUUUGAACACUGCCCUACAAAUUGUAUGCAAAAGAAAUGCUUUCAUCUCACACUGUCCUCCACACCAGAGCGAUUUCUCAACGGAUUAUAUGGGGCUUCAGAAUCUUAUUAUAUGUGGAGAAAUACACAUCUUGCCUGAAGGACAUCUCGGAGAAAACUCUUAGGAACAGCUGCCUGGCAGAUGACAGUAGGGGUCUCAGGGUGGAUUCCUAACAAAUUGCUGAAGAAGGUUGGCAUGAAUUACAAGACUGAAGCACAAACCAUAGCAGGAGAGCAGAAGGAAUGUCCCAAUGUUUGGAAUCAGCCUGCGCCAUGACCAGUAGCUGCAGCAGCACCACAAAUGGGUGCUGCCAGGUGGGCAGUGGGACUGCCACCCUACAGCCACGUCUGCCUGCUGCCACCCUGCUCCUUUCCCGUUAGUGUUUCCCUGCAGAAUGACUGUGACUUCCAGGGGCACCUUUAGGAAUGUUUCUUUGGUACCAAAGGUACCGCUGAUUUUUUUGUUUUCGUUUUGUUUUUUUUUCUUUCAAGAUAAGUUGUUUGUUUGCAGCCCCUGCCCCAAAGCCACACUCACAGGCUGUCAGCUUCUGGAGCUGAGGAUCUGACCCUUCACCACCAUGGAAAGCAGCACCCCAGCCUAGGUGAACUUCGGCAUAUUUUCCUAAUUGAUGUGAAUGAGAUGAAAGGGAAAACUGACUCCUGUGACCUCUGUAGCAUAAUUGUGUACCAUGUGUUGCAUGAACAAAGGGGUGUGCCAUAGCUGCAUAAAUGUGAACUGACGUCGUUCUACUCUUAACAGCUUUGCUCUGUGUUGUCCAGGUAAACUAACAGCUGUUACCCUUUGCUCCUCUUCUGUCGCCUCCCACAUACCCGGUUUGUUUGCAUGGUGCAGCUUGGUGCGUCUCACAGUUUGGUGCUCAGCAUUGCUGGGAUUUUCAGUCCAUCCAUGCAAUUGUCCAAGACAGAGCAGGCAGAGUGCUGGGGCAGGUCCUUACGUGCAUUGCUGUGCUGUAAUUUGCAGGAGGAACAUGUGGAUGUGGGUCUGCAUUGCAGCUCAGACACUCAUCAGAGGGAUGGGUGAGGCAGUGUGUGUAACAUGCAGAACAGGUGCAAACCACCACUGCUGUGGGACAGAUUCAUUCGAGCUGAUUUUGUGGAUUUCUUUUUCACUUAAAAAUGAGUGAUACUGCAAAGGCUUUGAGCAUAAUUGGUUUUAUGUUAUAUGUUUGUGAAAGAACUAGACCCUGUAUUUUGAUUUAAUUAAGGCUUUUGUGCCUGGCUCAAAACUGAGCUCCUGCCAUAUCUUGCCUUUCACUGAAGGGGCUGGAGCAAUCCGCGCUGAAGUGCAUCACUGUACUGCAUUGCUUCAGCCAGUUCAAAGUUGAAUGCUCAUGCUUGUGUUUUAAGUUAUGUACUUAAAGCUCUUUCUUCUAGAAUUGGGAAGAGGUCAGCAGGAGCUGAGCCCCCUUUCCUUGCCCUCGGUUAGGAUAAAGUUUCCCCACUGCAUGGAGAAGCAGAAUGGUACUAAUUAUGCUCUUGGAACACUGGCAUGUAUUGUAUGUGUGUGCUGGAGCCCCGUUUGUCCUACCCUCAUCUGCUCUUUGGGGAUGUAUGUGACAGUCAAAGGGAUGUUUGAGCUGUGGGAGCAUCAGACAAAUGGGCUGGAGAUACUGCUCAGGAGAAAGGCUGUCCGAAGGGCUGUCUUAUCACUGAUGGUACUUAAUAUAGUCAGGAUAUAUUACUUCUCAUCAAUUGAACCUUUGAUGAGAGGUCUGACUCACUUCUUGUGGCUGCUGUUGUGCUGUAGAGCUUUUAGUACAGAUGUACAUACAGUGCAAAUCAGGAUAUACUUCUGGAAGCAUCCUAAAUGCUGAAAUAUAUAAUAAUGCAUAUAUAAAUGCACGUAUUAUGUAUGUGAGUAUAUGUGUAUUUAUAUAAGGACUUCCACCACAGUAUGUCCAGAUCCAUAAUCAGAGAAACUGGAAAUAUGAGUCUGUGCCUGCAUUGUUAGAACAGCAGCACCUUGUAGUUUCAGCAGCAUUACUGCCGAUGUGAAUGUUAUGCUUGAAGAGUUGGGUUCAAUACCUAUUGUGUUCAGAGAGAGCCUUUCCUGUGCCUUGCGUCAAACUUUAAUUUCUAACUGAAGGUAGCUGUAGCUAGAAGCCAGUUCAAGUGCCUUGGGACUUCUUUGAUAUGUGGAGUGUGUUAUAAAAUAAGUAAUGGUGAGGAGGAAGGGCUCAUGCUUGGCGGAAUGGCCUUCCUGCUUUAGAAACAGUAUCACCUAUAUCUUAGCACUGUAAAUCCUAGCUAUAGAAGAGUCACAGUUAAGGCAAGAUCUGUCUGUGGCCAAUGCGAGGUGGGAACUGCUGCAGAGAUUGAAACACCAGAGCGGGGCGUUCCGGGCAGGGAAUUGGCUUGGGAAGGUGAGGGCACGCGUUGUGCAUGGAGGGGCUGAAGCGCUCCCUGUGAGCAGCUGGCUCAGGCACAUCAAGCUGCAUGGGAGGUCUGUUUAAAACCACUUUGUUUAGCAGAAAAGCAACAAUUAGGAUUAAAAGCAGUUUGUCUGUUAACAUCUAGGAUUAAUUUCCUGGCUCUGACUUCAUAUUGGCAUCUGCAUUGUGAAAGAAUUAAAGCCAAACUUUGGUCAAACAUCUGCAGAGUAUCUAGAAAGUACAGAAGUGUCUCUGUAUGUGAUCUCUGGCUGGGGUCUAUGAGCUCACUGAACUUCUCCCGUUGUCAGGGUGGGCUGUGACAUGUGCCUCUGGUUACGCCUGGCUAUGGAACUACAUUUCCUAAUAGCUGGGAAGCCCUGUAAUAGUGCAGCACUCUUCUUCAGUUGCUUCAUGUAUUGAGAGAAUUCUAGAAGCAAUUCUAGAAACAUGGUGUUGGGUUAUGUCCAUUGGCUUCCCCUGCGGCCUCUCCCUUCUCCAGACAGCUCAGCUCAGGUGCUUUCUUCCAAAGCACAGCCCCUGGUGUUAUUUGCACUGUGGCCCUGCAGAGCUGCACAUGCCGUGGUGCUCUGCUGUCCUCUUCCAUCUGCAUUCCUUACAUUGGCUGCCUACAAAGCAUGGACUAGUUUAAAUCGGUAGUUCUGAUUUUUAAAGCACUUAAUAGCAAUAAAGAUCAGCUAUAUUUGAAGAUCAUCUUCAACCUUCCCUUUCUGGGCAUCCAUGGUUGGUUCAUUGCUUACUGUUUCUUGCUGGCCUGCUGUAAAUUUGGAGGUGUGCAACUUUCCUGGGGUGCAGCUUGCUUUGUCCCUCACCCUGCUGAAACAGCUUGUUACUUUUAGUGUGUGAUGGGAUUUGAUUAUUAACAGCUUGAUGGCUUUUUUCUCUCCUUUUUUCAAGCUGUCUGACAGGAAUGGACCAAAUGCUGUCAGUAUUCUCGUUAAUAAAUUUGCAGCUGCUCAGUGAUGGAGUGCUGCCCCUUUGGAGGGACUUUGGGCAAUGAGCCCUGCUUACUGCACAGGAACAUGAGGAAGAGCAGCUCCUCUCUGGAAGUCUUAAGACCAGGACUUCACCCACUGAGCCGUCGCUACCAAACCUCUGUUCUGGAGCACAGCCCAAACACAGAACGCAAAGGU